rnacentral:lncRNA from 1 species
UAAAAAUAUAGCUAUGUCUAUAUCUAUGUAUAGAUACUACAAUGCUUUUUUCUUGCAGCAAAAAGAUACAGCUGAUGGUUCAUCUGAAAAAUUGAAAGUGGAUGAUAUGCAACAAGAAGUUACUCCAAAACAUGCACAUUCUUCAGAUAUACAAGAACCAUCAGUUGAAAUUCAGACUCCCAAAUCAGAUGACAAAUUUAGAUCAUUGCUAGUGGGAGUGCUCCACGUCUGUGCUCCGGAUUCUCCCCCUUUGCUGCACCUGGCCUCGCCUUCACCAAGGGAGAGAGCAUCGCGUGGAGUUUUCUGCAGAAUGAUUUGGGUGGUGAUGGCAUGUUCUUGUGACUCCUGGGCUCUACAUUUAGACUCCCAGCAAUGUAUUUUUCUGCUGCAAACCACUGCAUUUGAGAUUGAAGAACACAAGGUCAAUAUGCAAAAUCAUUUUUCUUUCUACAUGUUAAUCAAAAAUUGAAAUAAAAACCAAU